CCAAUUGUGACACCGAGGUAAACUUUUACGCGCAAACGGACUGUAUAUAACCAACAACAAAAUACGGCAUGUUUGCCAUGUUUUGAGAACCGUCCUGUAAACACAGUGAUGAGAGAUUAGCAAUAGCAGGUGCAUCACGAUUGCAUUGACUUUCACACAAGUGUCCCUGGUUGCGAAAAUGAACCACCCGCCGACGCUUAUCCUACCUUGGGGGUUGAAGAGCUGGCUAGUUGCCGUCAGUCGCGCGGUUCUACUGGAGGAGCCUCCAAAUGUCAUGGCGUUCAUAGCGUCUUACAGCGGCCAGCUUCUGCAAUUGAAGAAAGAACAUCCAAAUCUUGAUAUUCAAGAGCUCUCAUACAUCUUCAGAGAUUUAAUGGGAGGUCACACUAAGGACUACCAGGGAACCAUCUCCUUCACUGGUCUGGCGGAAUCUGUUUUGAGUGAAUGCUCUCACAAAAUACCUGAGGAACGAGACAACGCAGCACCAGGUCUGUCUGCAUCUGAUACAUCAUCAAGCCAUGUACACUGUGAGGAGCCUGACCACCAGGCCAUGGAGGAUAAUGCGGUCAGCAGUUCAGUGGUCCAGUGUGGCGUGUACCAGAAAGAUCCUUCAGUCUGCGGCGUGGUCGACGUUGAGAACACUGUGCUGAUCCGCACUUCCAGGGCUCCGUCCGAGCAUGUGAUUAUAGUUCACUCUGAGUGUCUCCCUGAGUCGCUCAUCUUCCACAGCAAAGCCUUGCCUUCAUCCAACGGAUCCCACACAACAUGUGACCUGUCCCCUGCUCCUAGUCCUGUCCCUGGUGAUAAGGAAUGGGAGGAACCAGAGGGAGUGUCUAGUGUGGUCAUGUUUUAUAAGGUUCCCUUGUUUGAGGACCUGCCUCACCCACCGUCCAUUGGGGAACUCCCCUCUGUUGCUGUUGUGGAGACAGUGACUGAUGAGGAUAUAUCCUCAAGCAGUGACACAUUUCCCUCGCAGGAGAAAAUGUCUGGCACUCAAUCUGUUCAGGUCUUUUUCUCAGCAGCCUCUGAGGUAGAAUCAUCUGGUCAGAUGAGAAAUUCAACAAGCAGCUUUGAGGAUCUGGCUGUGGACAAAAUAUCUGAUAUGAUCAUACCUCAGAAGGCCUCUUCCUAUAAAGAGCUGCCUCAGUCAACAUCACCUAUAAAGCAAACUUCAGUUGUUUCCCCUGAAUGUUCGGGAAGUGAUAUUACUGCAAAAGCUCCAUCUGAAACAGAACUAGUUGAUGCAGCACAGAGCGUGCCCUCAGUCAGGAUACCCAGUAGAGAGGAGAGUGUGGGGAGAACAGCAGAGACAGCAGAGAGAUACACAUCUCCCAGAGUAUCACCAAGAGCUUCUCCACAAACUUCUCUGGUAUCAGCUCAUGUUGGUGAAUCCAGUCUGCCUAGGAUUCCAUCUGCACCAUCAAUGGACAGACACCCAGUUUCUCAAAGAGUUUCUCCACAAUCCAGUCAGUCCAGGAUUCCCUCUGCACCAUCAAUGGAGGAGCUACUGGUGUGUCCAUCUGCUUCUGUUGGUAGAAUUUCACCAGCAGUUCCAAGAUCUUCAAGAAGUAGUUUGUCAGAAAGAGCUCCUUCUGAAACAGUAGUAGGGAGAACAGCAGAGACACGAGAAAAACACACAUCUCCCAGAGUAUCUCCACAAGCAUCUUCUGCGAUGAGUGAUGAUCAGGUGACUAAUCCGGAGACAUCUGAAAGAUUACUGACAACCUCAACUCUGCAUUCAGAAGAUUUCAAAUUUGGUGAGAUUAUGUACUUUAAAUCAACUCAUACAUUGAUUGAUUUGAUGGGGGUCUAUGUUGAUAUUAUAGUGUGUUUAUAGAUAUUGGAAUGAACCAUGGCUUAAGCCUUACAUUUUAUAUUAUUGUUAUAAGCAUGCAUUUCCUUUCACAACUUGGCCCAUGGAAUCACACAAACUGAUGAGAGACCAGCGUCACAUGGAACUACACAAACUGAACUUUCAGCAUUGCAUAGAACUACACAAACUGAGAAGAGACCAGCAGCCCACAGAACUACACAAACUGAAGUUUCAGCAUUCAAUGGAACUGCACAAAUUGAUGAAAGACUAGCAUUGCAUGGAACUACACAAACUGAAGAGGGACCAGCGUCCUCCCGAACAUUACCCUCAGCCUCUCCUCUGCCUGGCGGUGCUGCCACGGAGCAUCAGAAUCCAGCAGAAGAACUGGGAUUGGGACCUUCACCUGCUGAGGAUGUUACUGAAGUAGCAGAGUGGGUCAAACCAGACAACAUAGAGACCAGCAAAUCAUCCGACUUGGUCAGUCCUCAACAUGUAGAGAAUGCACCAAUACCAGAAUUGGUCAGUCCUCAACAUGUAGAGAAUGCACCAAUAUCAAGAUUGGCUUGUCCACCACAUGAAGAGGCAUUAACAUUUGAAAAUCCUCAAGAGAGUGUUGAAACAGAAGAGAAUGUCGAAACAUCAAAUGAGGAGGUAACUUCCAAACCCCAGCCUGAAUACACAACCAAUGCUCCACCCUGUCCUGGGCCAGAGACACCACAGAUGAUCCAGGAAGAAUCAGCCACCCAGACACCAGAGGAGGAGUCUGUCCAGGAGGAACUAACCACCCAGACACCAGAGGAGGAGUCUGUCCAGGAGGAACUAACCACCAAGACACCAGAGGAGUCUUUCCCAAGAGUCCCCACACUUCAGUUCCUCUUGCCAGUUCAUACUGCAGAGGGCUGUCAGCAGAACCGAACCAAACCUGCUAACCUGAUCAAGAUGGCUGUCGCUGAGAGGAACCACCUGAUCAAGAGACUUGCCAAGUCAGACCCACUGAAGAACAGAUUGGAUGGGUCUAAGUCUGCUACCGGAGUGAGAGAAGUGUCCUACGCCACCACGUUGAUGAAGCAAAGGUCCCAGACAGCCCCACAGCCCAACCUCAAACGAAUGUUGAGCCUAACAGGUGGACCGACACAGGAACAUUCAGGCCAGACCACGCAGACUGUCCGUAAAUUAGACACUCCCGACACUCAGCAAAUCAAAAUCCCCAACUAUCUCCUUGUGGAACGUUCAUCUGGAACCUCGGACACAGCUUCUUCCCAAGAGAGAAAGCCAGCAGAUCAAGAUAGUUGUGUGGUCAGCAGGGGACGCUGUACUGGUUUCCUGUCCUUCUCUGUGCCAAUUGACAGUUUCUGCGGAGCAGAGUGUGGCUGUCGACCGCAGUUCCUGCAGAUCACAACCGACGAUGGAGACGUAGUCUAUUCCCCUGCGUUCAUACAGGCUAUCAACCCAUGCAGACCUGGUGCAGAUGAGGUCGCGGAGAGGACAGACACACGCCCGACAACUUCACCUGCCCACAUGGAAUGGUCUUUUAAAAUCAGCAUAAAAGGACAGAGUGUGGGGGAUGAUGAAGUUAACCAAGAAAAGUGAUAGAUCAAAUUUCUGUUUUUCCAUCCACAUUGAACUCUUGUAAUAAAUGCAAUUAAUCUGAAGAC